GCCUACGGGGGGCAGCAGUGGGGGAUAUUGCACAAUGGGGGGAACCCUGAUGCAGCGACGCCGCGUGGGUGAAGGAGCGUUUCGGCGCGUAAAGCCCUAUCGGCGGGGAAGAAAAUGACGGUACCUGAUUAAGAAGCCCCGGCUAACUACGUGCCAGCAGCCGCGGUAAUACGUAGGGGGCAAGCGUUAUCCGGAUUUACUGGGUGUAAAGGGAGCGUAGACGGCAACACAAGUCUGGAGUGAAAUGCCGGGGCUCAACCCCGGAACUGCUUUGGAAACUGUGCAGCGAGAGUGCAGGAGAGGGG
rnacentral:rRNA from 1 species